AGCAGCCGCGGUAAUUCCAGCUCCAAUAGCGUAUAUUAAAGUUGUUGCAGUUAAAAGCUCGUAGUUGAAUUUCGGGAUUGGCGCAUCGGUCGUGCCUUACGGGGUAUGAACUGGUGCAGUCAAUUUCUCACCUUCUGGAGAACCGCGAUGUCCUUAAUCGGGUGCCGCGGGGAACCAGGACCUUUACUUUGAAAAAUUAGAGUGUUUAAAGCAGGCAUUUUUGCUUGAAUACAUUAGCAUGGAAUAAUAAAAUAGGACGGCAUGGUUCUAUUUUGUUGGUUUCUAGGACCACCGUAAUGAUUAAUAGGGAUAGUUGGGGGCAUUAGUAUUCAAUUGUCAGAGGUGAAAUUCUUGGGUUUAUUGAAGACUAACUACUGCGAAAGCAUUUGCCAAGGAUGUUUUCAUUAAUCAAGAACGAAAGUUAGGGAUCGAAGACGAUCAGAUACCGUCGUAGUCUUAACCAUAAACUAUGCCGACUAGGAAUCAGACGAUGUUAAUUUUUAAUGUACUCGUUUUGGCA
rnacentral:rRNA from 1 species